GUUUGAACCAUAUAUGAGAUGGGAAACCAGACCAGAUUGUUUUAAUAAACACAAGUGACGACUUAUGAGUUAUGACAGAGAAUCAAAUAUUGUUAAGGGGACUGGGUCCCUAGAGGGAAAGGAGAGCCAGUGACAGGAACACACAGCUGGUAGCAGCCAUUUGCAAGAUAAAACUGCUCCAUGUUUCUGCCUCAACAAAUUGAAUGUCUUCAAUCAAACUGGUUGAAUAUCUGGGACAGCCACGAGAACAAAGUAGGAAGGAGCAGAGCGAACUGAGAAGAGAACACACAGCCAGGAGAUGCACAGAAAGGAGAUACAUUUCCUUUGCCUGAGUCACCAGAAGAGUCUUUAGAGCCACGGUGGAAACCAAGGAAAUAUUUGGAGGCAACAGAAUGAAUGACAAUCCAGGCACAAGGCUGAGAAGCAAAAUUUAAGAUGCAGAGAGUUUGAGAUUGGGGCACCAGUGGAAGAGGGAGAACAGAAAUGAGGUAUUUACAGAGGAGAGAAGUCUGUCAGUAAACUGGGAACUGGGCAACUUUGGGGACUGCAUCCAGAGUGGAGAACCAAGACUCUGCCCAAUAAAGAGGGAGGAAGACAAAUGGGCUCAAGGAGCUACUUUGGAUUCUCUGUUGGUGGUAGAUUUUGUGUGGAACAUUUUAUAGAUGUCACAGGGGACAUGAUUGACAGAAAGAUGCAACAGACACUGUACAGGAACAUAAAGCUUCUUAAUGAUAAAAUAAGGGAUGAAGAAAGUUCUGGGAGUAAAGGAGAAGACAAAGUGUCAUGCUCCCAGACCGAGGUACAGGCUUCCAUAUUCCCAGCUCCUACGAUGACAUCUAGCUACUGAUGGAGCUACCCAGGUGGAGCAGUGAUUUCACCAGACAUGAGAAACUCACCUCUGCCAUUCUUACAGGUACUCUUAUACCUUCUGGAGUCCUUCACAGUACCCUGGUUGCCAGAUGCAAGUAAUUGAUACAAAACUAUAACACAUUUCUAAUGCUUAUUGCAAGACAGUCAGUCAAAGACCAAUUCCCCAGGAGCAUCCUACAACUCGCUGAAGUUGCAAGACUGUUGGAGAUCUACCCCUAGAGUUGUAAUAACAUGAAGUUAGACAUGGUUCUGCAUAUAUUCCAGGACUCCAUAUUUAUAUUGAAU
rnacentral:lncRNA from 1 species